AUUGAACGCUGGCGGCAUGCUUUACACAUGCAAGUCGAACGGUAACAGCACUUCGGUGGCUGACGAGUGGCGCACGGGUGCGUAAUACAUCGGAACGUGCCUAGUAGUGGGGGAUAACUACUCGAAAGAGUAGCUAAUACCGCAUGAGAUCUAAGGAUGAAAGCAGGGGACCUUCGGGCCUUGCGCUACUAGAGCGGCUGAUGGCAGAUUAGGUAGUUGGUGGGAUAAAAGCUUACCAAGCCGACGAUCUGUAGCUGGUCUGAGAGGACGACCAGCCACACUGGGACUGAGACACGGCCCAGACUCCUACGGGAGGCAGCAGUGGGGAAUGUUGGACAAUGGGCGCAAGCCUGAUCCAGCAAUGCCGCGUGCAGGAUGAAGGCCUUCGGGUUGUAAACUGCUUUUGUACGGAACGAAAAGCCCUCUUCUAAUACAGGAGGGUCAUGACGGUACCGUAAGAAUAAGCACCGGCUAACUACGUG
rnacentral:rRNA from 1 species